CAUAAUUUAUAUCAAACUAUAUUGCAGCCCUUGAUUUGUCCAUUUUCAUCUUGUAAUUUAUCCUAUUAUUGAUUUGUCCAUUUUCAUCUUGUACCCUAUGAUGUUUACCAAUCCAUGGCUGUAAGUUUGGCAUUGGCAAAUUUGGCUAAUUUAUAUGAUGACUCAAUUACUUGCACUGUUAUCCAUAUAACCUUUGUUUAUGUUGCUGAAGAAAUUAUUUAUAAUCGGUAUUUCUGAUAUGUUCUAGAGUUUCUUGGCCUCUUGGACCUUUUCAUGUAUUAUAUUAUUGAACUUUGUUAUGUGGCUGCAGGGUGAACCAAGUUUCCAUCUAUUUGGUUUUAUAAUGUGUCAUGGUGCUACUGCUGCAAGGGCAUUAAAGUCUCUGCUUCAAGGCAUUUUGCUGUCCUCAGAAGGGGAAAAACUAAAUUCUAUGAACCUUCUGUUAUACAUGGCACCAAUAGCUGUUUAGUUCUUAAUUCCUGCUACAUUGUUGAUGGAGGAAAACAUGGUUGGGAUCAUAAUAGCUCUUGCCAGAGAUGAUAUCAAAAUAAUCUUUUAUUUACUCUUCAAUUCUGCCUUGGCAUAUUGUGUGAACUUGACCAAUUUCUUGGUCACCAAACACACCAGUGCUCUGACUCUCCAGGAUUGAGGAAAAUAAAUAUAUAUAAGAACUCAUCAUCUGCGGGGCACCUCUGUGAG